GAUUGACAAUCCCGGAGACAAACUUCUUCUCUGUGAUCACACUACAGGCCUAUAUGCUUCAGUUUUGAAAAUCCACUGACUGGGUUUACUUCACCUUUGACCUCUCCCUCCUGGGUUUUGUGGGCACUUCAAGGAAGAGUAUAGCAAUGAAUUCACAGCAGGACCAUUCAAGGGAUGAGGGACCCUCCAGCAGCAGCACCCCCAACCUUCCAGGCACCAGUCCGUCGGGCCAGGCAGCGGGACCAACUACUACGGUGGCACGUCCAGGCCAUCAAGAGAAUUGAGGAGGCGAUCGCCAGGAAAAUCGAUGCAGACCUGGAGUGGUGGCAGUAGGCAUGGGAACAGUUCCUGCACCGGUGUGACCGCAUGUGCAAUGCAAUUACCACCCUGACGUCGGUCACGCUGUGCACUAUGGCAUGGCCUUGUCACAUGCACCUGCCCUCCCUGCCCUGCCCAUGCUCAUGCCCCCUC